CACGUAGGGGACGAGCGUUGUCCGGAUUCAUUGGGCGUAAAGCGCGCGUAGGCGGCUCGGAAAGUCGGUCGUGAAAUGCCGGGGCUCAACCCCGGGACUGCGUCCGAUACUCCCGAGCUGGAGGCAGGUAGGGGAGAUCGGAAUUCUUGGUGUAGCGGUGAAAUGCGCAGAUAUCAGGAGGAACACCGGUGGCGAAGGCGGAUCUCUGGGCCUUGCCUGACGCUGAGGCGCGAAAGCUAGGGGAGCGAACAGG
rnacentral:rRNA from 1 species